rnacentral:rRNA from 1 species
GUCUGAGGCCAUGUCACCCUGAACGUACCAAUCUUGUCUGAUCUUGAAAGCUAAUUAGGGUCAGGUCUGGUUAGUACUUGGAUGGAAGACCAAUUUUAGAAGAGACUGCUCAGAGA